rnacentral:rRNA from 1 species
CCUACGGGAGGCAGCAGUGAGGAAUAUUGGUCAAUGGGCGCGAGCCUGAACCAGCCAAGUAGCGUGAAGGAUGACUGCCCUACGGAUUGUAAACUUCUUUUAUGGGGGAAGAGAAGCAGACGGUACCCCUUGAAUAAGGCAAGGCUAACUACGGGCCUGGAGCCGCGGUAAUACGGCGGGGGCUAGAAUUGUGCGGAUUCAAUGGGUGUAAAGGGCGUGCGGGCGGAGAGACAAGUUAGAUGGUAAAUCCACGGGCUCAAACCGUGAACUGCAUUUGAAACUGUUUGCCUUGAGUUUCGGAGAGGUAAGCGGAAUUCGUUGUGUAGCGGUGAAAUGCUUAGAUAUAAGGAAGAACACCAAUGGCGAAGGCAGAUUACUGGACGAUAACUGACGGUGAGGCGCGAAAGCGUGGGUAGCAAACAGGAUUAGAUACCCGUGUAGUC